rnacentral:pre_miRNA from 1 species
UUGGGGUAAAAUAGUGAAAAGCCGACAUGGGGAAGUGAUCGACCCUUGAGUUAAGUUUAAAUUUAUUUUUUUGUACUCCAUAAACUUUUUACCGUGGGUAAAAAGAUUCUUCUUGGGGUGUAAAAAAAAUCAAAUUUAAAUUUAGCCCAAGAGUUGAUGAUGUAUUUUCCCAUGAAGGCUGCUCACUAUUUUACCCCAA